UCCUAGUUUCCUAGGCAGUCCCGCCAGAGUGCCUUACCUAAAAAGGCAGUUGCAACUGACAGCAAGGGUUGCGCUCGUUAAAGGACUUAACCCAACAUCUCACGACACGAGCUGACGACAGCCAUGCAGCACCUGUGCAAAUGUCUAAACCGAAGCUUAGAAAAUCUCAUCUCUGAGACUAUCAUAUGCAUGUCAAACCCGGGUAAGGUUCCUCGCGUAGUGUCGAAUUAAACCACAUGUUCCACCGCUUGUGCGGACCCCCGUCAAUUCCUUUGAGUUUUAGUCUUGCGACCGUAAUCCCCAGGCGAAUCACUUAACGCGUUAGCUACGACACUGAUCCAAAAAAAUUUGAACCAACAUCUAGUGAUUAUCGUUUACAGCGUGGACUAC
rnacentral:misc_RNA from 1 species